GCUUCGUAAAUCAAAUAUGAUGUGCGUGCAAAUGUCCCUUGAAUGUGAAUAUAAGUCUAAAUUUAAACAGUGUUAUAUUAUAUAGAUCGAUCGUGUCUCUUUAGGGCGCUUGGAGGAAACCACGCAAUUCAUAUGGAUUACUUUGGCGAUGUUUUUUUGCGAUGAACAUUUUGAAACGUGAACAUUUUUGAUGAAUCUUUUCAUCGGAGGGACAUACAUCUCCCAGAUUUCAUUAUAAUAUCUCCGCUUUUCUUUCGAAGAUGAACGAAAGUCUUAGAUGGUUUGGAUCAUCUUAAGGCUUCUGCGAGCGUGUAUGGCGUCUGGCUUCAGAACCUCACUGUGACUUCAGAUAAGAACAAAGAUUAAAUUGUAAGAAGGGUUGCUUAUAAAAGCAUACAGUACAUCUGAAACUGCUGAGACUGGUAAGGUUUUUGACUAUAUUUCCGACCAGAUCAGCUGCUAUAGAAGACAAACUGAAAUCUGAGUGUAGAGACAAGCAAAGGAAUACUGCAAGACACUACUGACUAGGCUGUGCCCAGGUCUCCGGAACCUGCGACAAUGCUCAGCUCCAUCGGCCCUCCGUCUGCGCCUUCAGAUCCACCAGCUCUGUCUCCAUCGGUCGGCCCCCAGAUGUCGGCAGCCACACC